UUGGUAACUGACGCAGGUCUGACGCUCAACGUCAAGUACGUAACUCUGCUUCUCAAUUUUCUGACAAAGCCGCCAUCUUGGUGCUGCAGGAAAGCCGUUUGAGAUAUUGGUGAAAUUCAAACACUUUGUGAGAUGACAGAAUAUUGCUGAAGGAUCCUACAUGGAAGCUGGCUGAUUACACGGAGUGAUUCCUCUGGUGUGGUGUACCUCAGAGAAAUAAACACUGUUGCAAGAGCUGAGAAGAUGGCCAAGAUAUCCUUAUUGCUGGAUGGUAGCUCUCUGGUCGUAGUGGACCAUGUCUGCAAAUGCUUCUGAACAUUGACAGAAUUUCUAAAGGAUCGCUGAGGACUCCCCCUCCAUGCGUGACAUCUGUGAGAAAUUUCCACGCUUUCUGGAGAUGCCAAGUUUGAUUCUUUCAGACUGGAACCAACUUUGCAUCCCUCGGCACUGACACUGAGAAGGUUUCAAGGACCCCACUACUAGGAGGCGAGGGUUUGACACGGCAGUGUCAUCACUGCCAUUGAUGACAACGUAACCAUUCCUGUUGCUGAUUGCCUGACUUGCGCAGUGACAAGCUUUUCAUGCUCUACUGGGUGUGUAACUUGGCAUAUCCACCACAGUUUAACUCUGUUUUUGCCUCUUUUGAAUAUGUGUACGAUAUAACCAUCUCAACCAACAAGUGGGCCAAGGUACUGGAACAUUUCUCACUUCAAGUUGCUCUUUAGUCACUGGACAUUUUUUUAAACAUCUACGCAGACACCACCACUCCACAACAUACCAUGUGUAUUUUAAUUACUUCUGAUUCCACUGACAUGCAGACUACAUCCUAUGCAAAUUCAGGUAAUUUACCUGGUACUGGAGAAACAGCAUUGUAUGCCAUUCUAAGUGAUACUUGCCUCCUUGUUUUGCAAAAAUGUACUGUUCUUUGAAUAUAACUUAAAGUAAGAUCAUGUUGACUCUGAGGUUUUCUCCGGUUGUCAAGCACAACCUUAACGUUUUGUAAGUAAUAGUCACAGGAUAUGCAUGCAUUUGUAAUUUGAAUUUUCGUUGAAAACGGCUCACCAAGCAUAAAAUGUUACCUCUGCUUUUGAUUUUUCUUUUUUUAAAAUGUCCCUUAAUACCAGCCUGUGUUUUUGUUGUGUUCACAUCAUCAGUGUUGGGAAGGAACAGAUUGCUGUAAGCAGAUUUUUAGUUACUGUAUCCCCAUCCUUUCAGAUCAGUGCUUUAAAGCCUUUUGAAAUUAAAUUGUUAAUAAACUUAAACAAACUCAAAUCUUGGUUAUUGGUUAUGAUUGAUAUAGCUUUGAAACUGUUAAUUUGGAGUGAAGUAAUUGCAGUGUCCAUCUAACCAAGCAAAUCGGUUAAAAUUUUAACCAAUAUCUGUGUCGGACACAUAUUAAUCGAACAAAUUGGUCAAAACAACCAUUGG